AAAAAAAUUCAUAUUACAAGAACACAUUGGUAUUGAAGGAACUAGAUACUGUUCCGAAAUAUCACUUACUCGAACUGUCCUGACCGCGUAGCUCAGUUGGAAGAGCAUUGGGCUAGUAUUCCAAAGGUCGUAGGUUCGAAUCCCACCGUGGCCGGGCAUGUUUUUCGGGCUCGCCCGGUGUGGAUAUGCACUCAGAGUAACAUCGCAAACAUAUUAUUCACCUGAGUACACAACACCACCA
rnacentral:tRNA from 1 species